UGAAGAAAAUUUUUUACUGUUUAAAGAACAAUUCUAUAAUGAUAUAAGGCAAUUGCCUGACUUUGACAUAACAUUGCGUCGAUUUAAGUUUGAUAUUGGAGCUAGGAAUAGACAAUUUCCAAGUCCAUUUGAUAAGUUCGUGAACAAUCAUAUUUUGGUCCCUGGUAGAUUAGAUUAUUAUGAAACGGCCUCAAAAUUCUGUGAUCAUUAUAGCAAAGGUCUACCAUUGGAAACAAAUUGGGCUCGCAGUUUUAAUUAUUAAAUACUAUACCAAUUACGCAAUCAUCUAAUAUUAAGUGGUAAGUAGAUACUUAUGAUUAAACUAUUAAUUUUUGCCAUAAUAUCAUAUAUCUAAUUAAUUAAUAAAAAAUUGUAUUAAAUCAA